GACGAACGCUGGCGGCGUGCUUAACACAUGCAAGUCGAACGGAAAGGCCCUGCUUUUGUGGGGUGCUCGAGUGGCGAACGGGUGAGUAACACGUGAGUAACCUGCCCUUGACUUUGGGAUAACUUCAGGAAACUGGGGCUAAUACCAGAUAGGAGCUCCUGCUGCAUGGUGGGGGUUGGAAAGUUUCGGCGGUUGUGGAUGGACUCGCGGCUUAUCAGCUUGUUGGUGGGGUAGUGGCUUACCAAGGCUUUGACGGGUAGCCGGCCUGAGAGGGUGACCGGCCACAUUGGGACUGAGAUACGGCCCAGACUCCUACGGGAGGCAGCAGUGGGGAAUAUUGCACAAUGGGCGGAAGCCUGAUGCAGCAACGCCGCGUGCGGGAUGACGGCCUUCGGGUUGUAAACCGCUUUCGCCUGUGACGAAGCGUGAGUGACGGUAAUGGGUAAAGAAGCACCGGCUAACUACGUG
rnacentral:rRNA from 1 species